rnacentral:rRNA from 1 species
GAUGAACGCUGGCGGCGUGCUUAACACAUGCAAGUCGAACGGAAAGGCCCUGCUCUUGUGGGGUGCUCGAGUGGCGAACGGGUGAGUAACACGUGAGUAACCUGCCCUUGUCUUUGGGGUAAAUUCAGGAAACUGGGGCUAUUACCGGAUAGGAGCUCCUGCUGCAUGGUGGGGGUUGGUAAGUUUCGGCGGUUGGGGCUGGUCUCGCUGCUUAUCCGCUUGUUGGUGGGGUAGUGGCUUUCCAAGGCUUUGACGGGUAGCCGGCCUGGGAGGGGUACCGGCCUCAUUGGGACUAAGGGAGGGCCCAGUAGCCUACUGGAGGCAGCAGGGGGGAGUAUGGCGCAAUAAGGCGACGCCUGAGGCGGCAGCCCCGGGUGCGGAAAGACGGGCUUCGGGGUGAAAACCACUUUCGCAUGUAACGAAGCGGGAGUGACGGUAAUGGAUAAAGAAGCAACGGCUAACUACGUG